ACCUCCAUGAUCAUGGCUCCUAUUCUGUUUGUUGCUGUAAUUAUGGUCUCCAAAAUUUACAUGUCUUAUGCAAGUAUAUCAUUCACUAUUGUACCAGUGACACAAUAUGUAUAUAUCAAUGAUACUGUCACAUUCAAGUUGAGUGUGGUGCUAAUGGGACUGAAUACACCCUUGUUAUUCUUAGUAGAGGAGUACCACUAUCUUUGCUAAUAUCUAAAACAUUACCUAAUGGUAUAAGGUUGCUAUGCUAUCCUUUAAUUUAACGGCAACUAAUGCAUCAAAUGGAACUGACGUUACCUGCCUAUCAUUUGGUGAUAAUGGAAAUGCCACUGAAACUGCCUAUCUUUAUGUUCAAGGUCCACCUGAUAGUGUCAGUAAUUUAACAGGAUAUCAGUUAGAUUCUUGUUGUAUGUUUAUCAGUUGGUAUCCUCCACUCACACUACCAGGACUAACAGUACAGUAUAUAAUCAGUGUAGGAACUGAUCAACAGUACCUUAAUGACUCUAUCACUAA